rnacentral:rRNA from 1 species
CCUACGGGAGGCAGCAGUGAGGAAUAUUGGUCAAUGGACGCAAGUCUGAACCAGCCAUGCCGCGUGCAGGAUGACGGUCCUAUGGAUUGUAAACUGCUUUUGUACGAGAAGAAACACUCCUUCGUGAAGGAGCUUGACGGUAUCGUAAGAAUAAGGAUCGGCUAACUCCGUGCCAGCAGCCGCGGUAAUACGGAGGAUCCAAGCGUUAUCCGGAAUCAUUGGGUUUAAAGGGUCCGUAGGCGGUUUAGUAAGUCAGUGGUGAAAGCCCAUCGCUCAACGGUGGAACGGCCAUUGAUACUGCUAGACUUGAAUUAUUAGGAAGUAACUAGAAUAUGUAGUGUAGCGGUGAAAUGCUUAGAGAUUACAUGGAAUACCAAUUGCGAAGGCAGGUUACUACUAAUGGAUUGACGCUGAUGGACGAAAGCGUGGGGAGCGAACAG